AGGCUAUGGAAGGAUGGGGCGAAUAUUUACGAUAUCGUUAUAAUAGAGAUGAUAGUUAUUUAAAAUCUGAUUUGACCAUUAACUAUUUAGGUUAUUGGACUGAUGCAGGUGCGUAUUAUUAUUAUAACACAGAAGUUGAGAAGAAUUAUCAACAGACAAUUUUAGAUGUUUAUUCCUAUAUUAAUCAAAUCAAAGUACCCUACAGAUAUCUACAGUAUGACUCGUGGUGGUAUUAUAAAGGCAUAACUCAUGGUGUUAAAACUUGGGUGGCACGUCCAAAUGUAUUCCCAGACGGAAGUCAGUAUAUAUUUAAUAAAACUGGGUUACCUGUUUCAGCACAUAAUAGAUAUUGGGAUAGAGAUACAACGUAUGCCCAACAAAAUGGCGGAGACUAUAAAUUCAUCGUCGGUCUUCUCAAGGCUGUUCCCAUGGAUGUGAAACUAUGGAACCAUAUUUUCACCGAGGCGCGAAAGUGGGGAUUGAUCACAUAUGAACAG